GCCCUCUCUCUGCUUCUCGUCUGCCGCCACCCCUCCUCUGUCGGCUCUUCAUCCCUGCCCCCGUUUCUCUCUUGUUUCGUUUAAGGGGCUCGCUCUCGUGCCUCCUUUCUCUUUCGCCGGUCUCGGCCGCUGGCCGUUGCUGCUCCCUCGCCUUUCGAGGGAGGGCAGUGCACGCAAGAGAACCGUGAUCGAGUGGUGACAAGUGGUCGCACAAUAGAAACGUAUGUUGGCGUGUGUGUUUAUGGUGGAUGCGCGAGUGCUUGUGUUAAUGAACAGCUUUCUAUCGCUCUUGUGGCCAUAGCACCCACAAGACCACACACACACACACACACACACACACACUAGCCAUUGCUAGAGACGCAGCUCCCCAAAACCAAGAAAGAGAGAGCGCACACAGCCGCAUCACAGGCCACAACGACACUCUCAGUGUGUUCCGUCCGCCCGCUUGUCUCUUUAUCUUCUGGCUCUGCUUCCUCCCUCUCUUCAACUCCCCUCCAUGUCAGCGUGGGGCAGUCAAGCUUCUCCGGCUGCAUCGUCACUUUCCCUUUUCUUACGGUCCAUUCCUACGCGUUUUUCCUUCCUCUUUUCAUGUUCGCGCGCGUGUGUGUGCUACACAGCGCUCCUUCUUCCACCUUUGUUCUCGGUCUUGCCUUUCUACAUGUUUUUUUUUCUCACCCUCGUUUUUUCCCGGUUGCGGAGGCGCUUCAUGAUUCGCUUGAGCGCGCAUCGUGAACUAGUGUGGCUGCAGAGUGUGUAGGGCUUUGAACCCUUUUUCUUCGUACAUUCGGUUAUUUUUCUUCUCUGAGUCCUCAUCCACCGACUGGAUCGUGCAUGACUCUUGCGGCUAUAGUGUGUGUGUGUGUGGCGGCGCCGGCUGUGGAUAGUUUGCUCUGGUGUGGUGUACGCGUGCAAAGAUUUGGCGUUUUGUAUGAGGUAAGGCACACCGACUGAUGAGACACUUGCGUGCGGGCGCUGGACGGUUUGCCUUGCACAUUGCACUGUGUGUGUGUGUGUCUCGUAUGCCUGUUUUGGUUUCUACCUCUUCGCUCCGUGGCUGUGUUUUGUGCGUCGUCAGAUCUAUUUCGUGCACCAUACGCUUUUCCUUUUCCUCCGCUCUGCUGUUCUUUCCUUCUCUUUUCCCGCACUCGUGUGACCAGAAAGGGGAGAGUUAGCGAUGGAGAGCCCGAGAGAGAGAGAGAACGGAAAGGAGAAAGGGAUAGUCUUCAUUCACUUGAACGUUCUCUCUAUACAUUUUUUUUUGUUUUACUGAAGUGUGCCAGCACUCUCCGUGCCAUGCUUUUGCUUUCUUCUUCGUUGGAUCCUCUUGCGCGUUCGUCUCUUGUUUGCAGGAUCACACCUCGGGCUUGUCUCGCAUUUUAACACACUCUCCCUCUCUUUAAAAUCUGCCGCUGCCCACCUCUCUGCUCGCGCGAGCACAACGCACCCUUAUGAGGCGUCGGUGCUGCAUCCAAAAGGACCGCAGGCAAGGGUUGCAGGAACGUCGGAAACACCUUCACUUUCACUGAGUGGCGAGCAGAGGGGCUUAGAGUCGAAGACAACAUUCUUGUUGUGGCGUGACCUUCGUGCUCGCCCACUGUCCUUCUGCUUUUCUCCGCAUUCCUCUGUUGCUGCCAUUGCAGAGGCAGGGAGUGAGGAGAGAGGCAAAAAGCCGAAUGAAGGAGUCUUGCUCGCUGCUCUUGCAUGUGCGCGUCUUUUCGUUGGUUGUUGCGCCUCUGUCUUUAGGAUCGAUUUCGUAUAGGUGCGUGUGUGCGUGUGUGGUUGUGUGGGCCCGUGCUCGUGUCUAUGUGAGUUUGCUCCGCGUUGUGAUUCACUACCUUUCUUCUCUGUGUGAAGGUCUCUCCUUUUCGACUCGCUUUUCCGUUCGCGUUUUCGCGAAGGUGAAAGGUGCGAGAGGCCGCUACGCGGUGAAGGCAACAGAGCAGUGAUAGCAUUGCACGACUCUCUGUGUGCCUUGCAAGCCUGUCUAUCUGUCUCUACGUACGCUUUUGUAUAUGUGUCGUCGGAGAUGCAAAUCUGCCGGACAGCAUCUCCCUCCUUUUCCUUUUCUCCCGCCUGUGAGUAAAGAAGAGCUUGUUUUUCGCUUCUCUCUCCUUUGUGUGUGCUGUGCUGUGUGUGUGUGUGUGCCUACUCGUUUUUUUUCCUUUGUUGUCAUCCCUCUUUUGUUUUCCCUCGGCUUGUUCUCUCUGUGUGGGCUGUUUCCCUUCCUCUCUCUCCUUCCACCUUUUCCUUUGCAACCCAUACCGAUCAGAGGCACAACAUUUUUUUUUCUCCUCCUCCAUUUUCGAUAUUUGGUGUCUCUUCCUUCGAUACGUCUUACAAUCCCACCUCAUUCCACUUUUUCUUUUCAUGAGCGCGUUCGUGUGGGCGUCUCCGUGUUUGCUUUCGUGACUGUAAUGUGUGCAUGCAAGUGCGUACCCAUGUUGGACCCGGCGUUCUCUCUGUAUGUGUGUGUGUGUGUGUUACUUCCUCCUUUUCUUUCCUCGUCUCAUCAACGACCCCCUUCGCUUUUCCGCGGACAAGCAGAACAAAGAAUACAGCAACGGAGAAGAGAGAUGGCGCCGCUCUCUUCUCCACGAACAGAGAGAAAAAAAAAGGAAUGAAUACGUUCUUUUUUCGUUUUCUCUGGCGUGUGUUAGUGUGUGCGCGUGUGUGUAACGACUACUCACAGCUCUCUCUUUGUGCUUUCAAAGAGAAGGGCUUUCGGUGUUGCUCAUGUGUGUUUUCCUCUCUCACGUUGUGUAUAGGCAAGAGGGUAAGGCGGUCCACUUGACAGUGUGCUCUGCUGCGGCAGUCUUGAAGGCUCCUAUUGCGCACUUUUUCAUUAUUAUUUGACUUGCCUUACUGUUCAUCUCUCUUUCUGCGAUUCCAUUGCUGCGCCGACGCGUAGUUUAAUCCCUGCGCAAGUCAUAGCACUGCACACCUCCCAACCCAGCGUUGUCCUCGCUCAUGAGCCGGCGCUCCCUUCGCUUGUGUUGUAAACGUCAUGACACACAUACACACGGAUGUAUACGGAGGAAAGGUUGAUAAUGCAACCUUUUUUUUCCGGCAUCUGCGGCGAUAUUGUAGAGGCCCUCUGCUACAACUAAAGAGCACUCUGCUGCAGCCCAAGGUAUUAAGUUCCUUGAGCUGCGACCUCAUGCACUCCCUCUUUCUCUUGCACCUUGUUUUGAGGGCCCCGUCGUAGCGGAUGGAAUCUAACUUUCCCCCAUACUGCUCUGCUCUGCUUUCCGGAGUCCCAUGGCUCAG
rnacentral:misc_RNA from 1 species